ACAGAUAUGUACGACUGAGCCUUGAUUCCA
rnacentral:piRNA from 1 species